GGUUUGAUUUAUGGCUCAGAUUGAACGCUGCGGAUGCUUUACACAUGCAAGUCGAACGGCAGCACGGACUUCGGUCUGGUGGCGAGUGGCGAACGGGUGAGUAAUAAAUGGAACGUGCUCUAGUAGUGGGGGAUAACUACGCGAAAGCGUAGCUAAUACCGCAUACGCCCUUCGGGGAAAGCGGGGACCUUCGGGCCUCGCACUAUUAGAGCGGCCGAUAUCGAUUAGCUGGUUGGUGGGGUAACGGUCACCAAGGCGACGAUCCGUAGCUGGUUUGAGAGGACGACCAGCCACACUGGGGCUGAGACACGCCCAGACUCCGCAUGGGAGGCAGCAGGGAAUUUUGAUUAAUGGGGGAAACCUGAUCCAGCCAUCCUGGCGUGGUGGCGAUGAAGGCCUUCGGGUUGUAAAAGCACUUUGCGCAGGAAAGAAACGGCACUGGAUAAUACCCCGUGCAACUGACGGUACCUGCAGAAUAAGCACCGGCUAACUACGUGCCAGCAGCCGUAAUACGUAGGGUGAAGGUGUUAAUCGGAAUUACUGGGUUAAAGCGUGCGCAGGCGGUCUGGAAAGAAAGAUGUGAAUCCCAGAGCUUAACUUUGGAACUGCAUUUUUAACUACCGAGCUAGAGUGUGUCAGGAGGGAGGGUGAAAUUCGCGUGUAGCAGUGAAAUGCGUAGAUAUGCGGAGGAACACCGAUGGCGAAGGCAGCCUCCUGGGAUAACACUGACGCUCAUGCACGAAAGCGUGGGGAGCAACAGAUUAGAUCUGGUAGUCCACGCCCUAAAACGAUGUCAAAUUAGCUGUUGGGGCCUUCGGGCCUUGGUAGCGCAGCGCCACGGUGAAGCUGACCGCCUGGGGAGUACGGCCGCAAAGAUUAAAAACUCAAAGGAAUUGACGGGACCCGCACAAGCGGUGGAUGAUGUGGAUUAAUUCGAUGCAACGCGAAAAACCUUACCCACCCUUGACAUGUUCAAAUCCUUGAAGAGAUUUUGGGAGUGCUCGCAAGAGAACCGAACACAGGUGCUGCAUGGCUGUCGUCAGCUCGUGUCGUGAGAUGUUGGGUUAAGUCCCGCAACGAGCGCAACCCUUGUCAUUAGUUGCUACGAAAGGGCACUCUAAUGAGACUGCCGGUGACAAACCGGAGGAAGGUGGGGACACGUCAAGUCCUCAUGGCCCUUAUGGGUAGGGCUUCACACGUCAUACAAUGUCGGGACAGAGGGUCGCCAACCCGCGAGGGGGAGCCAAUCCCAGAAACCCGAUCGUAGUCCGGAUCGCAGUCUGCAACUGACUGCGUGAAGUCGGAAUCGCUAGUAAUCGCGGAUCAGCAUGUCGCGGUGAAUACGUUCCCGGGUCUUGUACACACCGCCCGUCACACCAUGGGAGUGGGUUUUACCAGAAGUAGUUAGCCUAACCGCAUAUGGCAGAUUACCACGGUAGGAUUCAUGACUGGGGUGAAGUCGUAAUGGAAGGUAA
rnacentral:rRNA from 1 species